rnacentral:tRNA from 1 species
UGGGGUAGAGCUCAGUGGUAGAGCACUGGCCUAGCAUGCCUGAGGCCCUGACUUCCAGUCCCAGUGCUAUAA